GACGGAGGAUGCAAGUGUUAUCCGGAAUCACUGGGCGUAAAGCGUCUGUAGGUGGUUUAAAAAAGUCCACUGUUAAAGAUUGAAGCUUAACUUCAAAAAUGCCGUGGAAACUUUUAAACUUGAGUAUGAUAGGGGUAGAGGGAAUUUCCAGUGGAGCGGUGAAAUGCGUAGAUAUUGGAAAGACCACCAAUGGCGAAGGCACUCUACUGGGCCAUUACUGACACUGAGAGACGAAAGCUAGGGGAGCAAAUGGG
rnacentral:rRNA from 1 species